AAUCCUUAUUUAGAGUAAUGACCUCUUUUUACUAAAUCAUUUUGAUAUUACAGCUUUCAUUGAUAUGAAGAAGGAAAACACCACCCUAUUCCUUGCACUACUGACCUGCAUUAUCUUAUGUACGAGUGAAGCAUGGCUCUUUGACGUCACAAACUACAUUAACAGAAUAGCAGUUUCAAAAAGAAAUUUUAGGGGCCAGAAUAGAGAAGAAACGGAAAAUUUUAGACCAAUGGUUUUUAAACGAAAUGGAAUGGGAACCGUCGAUCAGCAACACAUUCCUUUAUUAUUGUGGGCUUUGAAAGGAAACAUCAAAAUUAAACAAACCAACAUUGAAAAGUUCCAGAGAUGAAAUAAAAAGCUUGCAUUAGAAGUUCCUGAACGAUAUAUGUAUGAAAACCAUACAUAAAUUUUGCACUUAACUGAUACGUUAUUUGCCUUCUAAAUGUAAAACUUUAAAACCUAAUAAAAGUGUAU